rnacentral:rRNA from 1 species
CAGUAGCCGCGGUAACACGUAGGUGGCAAGCGUUGUCCGGAAUUAUUGGGCGUAAAGGGCUCGCAGGCGGUUUCUUAAGUCUGAUGUGAAAGCCCCCGGCUCAACCGGGGAGGGUCAUUGGAAACUGGGAAACUUGAGUGCAGAAGAGGAGAGUGGAAUUCCACGUGUAGCGGUGAAAUGCGUAGAGAUGUGGAGGAACACCAGUGGCGAAGGCGACUCUCUGGUCUGUAACUGACGCUGAGGAGCGAAAGCGUGGGGAGCGAACAGGAUUAGAUACCCCAGUAGUCCCUGUCUCUUAUAA